rnacentral:lncRNA from 1 species
GUAUUGAAAUUUAAUAAAUUAUAAUUGAUUAAAAUGAGUUAAAAGAGAAUUUUUUCAAUACAAAACUAUCAUUUACAAAUAUUUUUAUAAUUUUAGACGUGAAUUGUAACAUAUCAUUAAGGAUAUUGAUAUAUAAAUAGUUAAAAAUAAUCAAUCUUUCAGAUUAUUUGCCUCAUAUAAAAUUUCUUUCCCUUAAUGCACAAUUUUAAAUAUGGUCCUCCAAACAACCAAGAAUGUCUAAAGUGGCCCUUUAAAAAGAAUGAGCUUGACAUUGCUGAUUUAUACCAUGAAUUUGCAAAAGUAAACAAAUCCAGAUUAUUGAUUUUUUUUAAAAAGAGUAAAUAUAUACAAAAUCUAGAUGUUGCAGAAGAAAGUUCAGAAGAUUCAUAUUCUGAAACAGAGAAAGCAUCCUCUUGAUUGUGUUUGGCAGCAAUGAAAAGGGAAAAAUUAAAUGAACAUAUGAAUUACAGUUUAUAAGAUGCU